rnacentral:rRNA from 1 species
CAGUCGCCGCGGUAAUACGAAGGGUGCAAGCGUUAAUCGGAAUUACUGGGCGUAAAGCGUGCGUAGGCGGUGAGUUAAGUCUGCUGUGAAAUCCCCGGGCUCAACCUGGGAAUGGCAGUGGAUACUGGCUCGCUAGAGUGUGUCAGAGGAUGGUGGAAUUCCCGGUGUAGCGGUGAAAUGCGUAGAGAUCGGGAGGAACAUCAGUGGCGGAGGCGGCCAUCUGGGACAACACUGACGCUGAGGCACGAAAGCGUGGGGAGCAAACAGGAUUAGAUACCCCAGUAGUCCCUGUCUCUUAUAC